rnacentral:rRNA from 1 species
UACGUAGGGGGCAAGCGUUGUCCGGAAUCAUUGGGCGUAAAGCGCGCGUAGGCGGCCCUGUAAGUCCGUUGUGAAAGUCGAAGGCUCAACCUUCGAAAGCCGAUGGAUACUGCAGGGCUAGAGUCCGGAAGAGGCGAGUGGAAUUCCUGGUGUAGCGGUGGAAUGCGCAGAUAUCAGGAGGAACACCAAUAGCGAAGGCAGCUUACUAGGCUGUAACUGACGCUGAGGCACGAAAGUGUGGGGAUCAAACAGG